UAUACGCCCUUCGGGGGAAAGAUUUAUCGGUGAAGGAUUAGCCCGCGUAAGAUUAGAUAGUUGGUGGGGUAAUGGCCUACCAAGUCUACGAUCUUUAGCUGGUUUUAGAGGAUGAUCAGCAACACUGGGACUGAGACACGGCCCAGACUCCUACGGGAGGCAGCAGUGGGGAAUCUUAGACAAUGGGCGAAAGCCUGAUCUAGCCAUGCCGCGUGAGUGAUGAAGGUCUUAGGAUCGUAAAGCUCUUUCGCUAGGGAUGAUAAUGACAGUACCUAGUAAAGAAGCCCCGGCUAACUCCGUGCCAGCAGCCGCGGUAAUACGGAGGGGGCUAGCGUUGUUCGGAAUUACUGGGCGUAAAGCGUACGUAGGCGGAUCAGAAAGUAUGGGGUGAAAUCCCAGGGCUUAACCCUGGAACUGCCUCAUAAACUCCUGGUCUUGAGUUCGAGAGAGGUGAGUGGAAUUCCAAGUGUAGAGGUGAAAUUCGUAGAUAUUUGGAGGAACACCAGUGGCGAAGGCGGCUCACUGGCUCGAUACUGACGCUGAGGUACGAAAGUGUGGGGAGCAAACAGGAUUAGAUACCCUGGUAGUCCACACCGA
rnacentral:rRNA from 1 species